rnacentral:tRNA from 1 species
AUUUAAAUAGCUUAUAUUAGAGUAUAAUAUUGAAGAUAUUAUGGAGGUUAUUUUAAUCUUUAAAUA